CUCCCAGCCAGCGAUUUGUGCCCUCCCCUCACUCCCACGAAUGCUCAUUGUGGAGGUGCUGGGGUCCCUCGCUCCCACCCGUCAAAGCCAGCCUUGGGCAUCGCUUUUUGGGUUCUGUUUUUUUUUUUACCCCCUCCUUGUUCCCACUUUAACUGCUUGCACAGUAGUUUCUCACGCUCCUGGGGUGUUUGCAGGGAUGCGUGCCCCAGGCAGGGACCGAGGCAGGUUUGUGUUUGCCAGACGUGGCUUUGGACUUCCUUAAGCAAUUGCUCUGCAGCUUGAAAGGGCAGCGGGGAGCUUUAUCGCGGUCUGAUGUGCUGCUUUAUGGGGCUGCGUGUGGGCCUGGCCGGCUCUGCCUGUGCCGGUGCUGCAAAGCCACGUGCUCUGCCCCGGGAGUUGGUGCUGGAUGAGUAAAACGUCCUCGGAGCUGAGGUUCAGCAGCGUCCCCAUGGUCUGCUGGGUCGUGGCUUCGAGAGAGCAGCGCAGUUUGGGGAGCGAGAGCUGCGUUAGUUCUCUGAAACGUGCCACAAAUGUUCCCUUCCGUUCCCAGAGGGAUUGUGAAAUGAUUUGGAAAACAAGGCGGCCUCCUUCCUCGUCGGAGGGGGCAGGUUUGUUCCUUGUUCCC